CUCGGGAUGCUAGCAAUGGUAGCUAACCAGCCUCAUAAGCUGGAGGUUGUAGGUUCGAGUCCUACUCCCGAAA
rnacentral:tRNA from 1 species